UACGAAGGGGGCUAGCGUUGUUCGGAAUUACUGGGCGUAAAGCGCACGUAGGCGGACAUUUAAGUCAGGGGUGAAAUCCCAGAGCUCAACUCUGGAACUGCCUUUGAUACUGGGUGUCUUGAGUAUGGAAGAGGUGAGUGGAAUUCCGAGUGUAGAGGUGAAAUUCGUAGAUAUUCGGAGGAACACCAGUGGCGAAGGCAGCUUGCUGGGACGGUACUGACGCUGAGACGCGAAAGCGUGGGGAGCAAACAGG
rnacentral:rRNA from 1 species